rnacentral:rRNA from 1 species
GACGAACCGUGCGAACGUUAUUCGGAAUCACUGGGCUUAAAGCGCGUGUAGGCGGCUUGGCAAGUCAGUUGUGAAAGCCCGGGGCCCAACCCCGGAACUGCAUCUGAAACUGCUUGGCUGGAGUCCCGGAGAGGAAGGCAGAAUUCCCGGUGUAGGGGUGAAAUCCGUAGAUAUCGGGAGGAAUACCGGUGGCGAAAGCGACUCUCUGGACGGCAACUGACGCUGAGGCACGAAAGCGUGGGGAGCAAACAGG